rnacentral:rRNA from 1 species
UCGCCUGUUUAUCAAAAACAUCUUUUCUUGUUAGUUUUUGAAGUAUGGCCUGCCCACUGACGCUUAGUUGAAGGGCCGCGGUAUUUUGACCGUGCAAAGGUAGCAUAAUCAUUAGUUCUUUAAUUGUGAUCUAGUAUGAAUGGCUUGACGAGACAUAAGCUGUCUUAGAGGUAUUUUUUAUUGAAUUUGAUUUUUAAGUUAAAAUGCUUAAAUGUUUUUAUGGGACGAGAAGACCCUAUAGAGUUUGACAGAUUUUCUAUUUAUUUGUUGUUUGUUUGUAUUUAUUGAGUGGGAAGGAACUGUUUUGUUGGGGUGAUGGGAGGAAUUUAUUUAACUCCUCUUUAUAUUUUUAUAUUUAUUUAUAUUUAUUUUGAUCCAUUUAUUUUGAUUAUAAGAUUAAAUUACCUUA